rnacentral:tRNA from 1 species
AGUGGUUAAGUGCUUGGCUGCUAACCAAAAGGUUGGUGGUUCGAACCCACUAGCCACUC